rnacentral:rRNA from 1 species
AUGGUGGACACACCCAAAGAAAAUAAUGACGAGGAUCAAAAGGAUGCAACGGAGGACGAUCCUCUUGAGACGCAACCCAAGCGCCGACGUCAGCGGCGCCGCUCUAAAUCCUGCCAUAGCAAAAACAGCGGUACCGGCACCAGAGACAAUAACACUUCGGAUGAUGCCGAAGACAAAAACAAUCCCACCCAGCCAAGCUUCGAGCGGGCUAGACAGGAGGAUGGGCAAGCUAGCCCUGAUGAACAGGCAAUGGACGGAGACUCAGAGGAUGACAAUUACAAGCCCCUCUCCGAAGACGAGGUAAGCCUCGACGACGAUGAGUUUAUCGUGCCUGAGGAUCCCGUCGAGCAGGAGCGCUUCAAGCGCCGGCUUAUAGCCACUGCAAAGAGCCUGAAGAAAAAAGCAACAACUUAUAGCUGA